UCAAACUUGGUCAUUUAGAGGAAGUAAAAGUCGUAACAAGGUAACCGUAGGUGAACCUGCGGUUGGAUCAUUAACAAAUUGAUCAGGCUAGGCUUAACAGCUCUGCCGGUGUUUCUCCCGCGAAAGCGGGAAGUAAACCCAAACCCAUUUGUGAAAUGUAUAGAUGUCUCUGGCGGUGGGGUGAUGAAAAAAGUUACUUGUAGCUUUCUUCGAUCCCUGUCAGCAACGCUAUGGUCGUCGAAAGGCGCGCCUGGCGAGAUGCUGUGGACAAGCCGCCAAUUGCUUCUUAACAACGCUUUUGCUAAGUAUCAUUGUCUAACCUGUUUAUUUUGUAUAAUAUACAAAAACAACUUUUGGCAACGGAUCUCUUGGCUCUCGCAUCGAUGAAGAACGCAGC
rnacentral:misc_RNA from 1 species